GACGAACGCUGGCGGCGUGCCUAAUACAUGCAAGUAGAACGCACAGUUUAUACCGUAGCUUGCUACACCAUAAACUGUGAGUUGCGAACGGGUGAGUAACGCGUAGGUAACCUGCCUGGUAGCGGGGGAUAACUAUUGAAAACGAUAGCUAAUACCGCAUAAUAUUGAUUAUUGCAUGAUAAUUGAUUGAACGAUGCUAUUGCAUCACUACCAGAUGGACCUGCGUUGUAUUAGCUAGUAGGUGAGGUAACGGCUCACCUAGGCGACGAUACAUAGCCGACCUGAGAGGGUGAUCGGCCACACUGGGACUGAGACACGGCCCAGACUCCUACGGGAGGAAGCAGUAGGGAAUCUUCGGCAAUGGACGAAAGUCUGACCGAGCAACGCCGCGUGAGGGAAGAAGGUUUUCGGAUCGUAAAGCUCUGUUGUAAGAGAAGAACGGGUGUGAGAGUGGAAAGUUCACACUGUGACGGUAUCUGACCAGAAAGGGACGGCUAACUACGUG
rnacentral:rRNA from 1 species